GGGCGGUUAGCUCAGUUGGUUAGAGCGCUACGCUCACAUCGUAGAGGUCAUCGGUUCGAAUCCGGUACCGCCCA
rnacentral:tRNA from 3 species